UCAUGUGCUGAUCGUCAGACACUUCAGGAUUAAAGGCCUGUUUCAAGCGGUCUUGGGAUGCCAGCGGGCCGCUCGUGUCAAGACCUGCCACAUUCACCUUCACGUCCUCCACCGCAAAACACAGAAUCAGAGCAAAGUUCAGCUUUAUCCCAGUCACACUCGGAGAAUGAAGACCAAUCAGAAGUCAGUAUGCAAAUACCACGAUGAUGUCAUCACUGCUGGAUACAUUUGAAAGGUGAAGAUUCUAUCAGGUGUUGUUCCUGCUUCUGGAAAGUCUUCAGGCCACCUGUGCCGCCCGGAUGCUGCUGGAAAUCCCCCUCUAGGGAACUUCAUAUAGCACUGCGUCUGUGUGUGUGUGUGUGUGUGUGUGUGUGUGUGUGUGUGUGUGUGUGUGUCUGUGUGUGUGUGUGUGUGUGUGUGUGUCUACUGUACAUAGAAACUGUUCCGCUUGGAUCUUUGAAGCUGUUUGUCAUUAUUAGCCUAUUUUAGAGUCUCAAAAGUACACCAAUUACGUUCAGAC
ensembl:lncRNA